rnacentral:misc_RNA from 1 species
UGGCUCCAGCAUCGAUGAAGAACGCAGCGAAAUGCGAUAAGUAAUGUGAAUUGCAGAAUUCCGUGAAUCAUCGAAUCUUUGAACGCACAUUGCGCCCCUUGGUAUUCCUUGGGGCAUGCCUGUCCGAGCGUCAUUAGACACCGCUCAAGCCCCGCUUGGUCGUGGGGACCGCCGCUCGGCGGCCCUGAAUUCUAGUGGUGGAGGGCUGCCUGGUGCCCGCGCGACGUACCUUACACGCCCCGCGUUGGGCCCAGCGCCCCCUCCCAGGAUCCCGCUCUAUAUACCGGUUGACCUCGGAUCAGGUAGGAGUACCCGCUGA